CCCCUAGAUGUUCUGGGCCGCACGCGCGCUACACUGAACAGUUCAACAAGUCUUAACAUUGGCCGAUAGGUCUGGGUAAUCUUUGAACGCUGUUCGUGAUUGGGAUAGACCUUUGCAAUUAUGGGUCUUCAACGAGGAAUUCCUAGUAAACGCAAGUCAUCAGCUUGCAUUGAUUACGUCCCUGCCCUUUGUACACACCGCCCGUCGCACCUACCGAUUGAAUGGUCCGGUGAAAUCUCGGGACGGCGGCUUGGUCGCUUGCGUCCGACUGCUGAAACUUGAUUAAACCAUAUCAUUUAGAGGAAGGUGAAGUCGUAACA
rnacentral:rRNA from 1 species